UGGCCCAUCCUCAUCCCUGCCAGGUAGCCUGUGGCCUGCCAGGUCUCACUCGUGGACCAGAGCCCUCUAGAAGCCUCACCCAGAGGCGUGAGCAGGGUUUCAGUGGGCUUGUGCCAGCAGAGCUUCUAGACACCC
ensembl:snoRNA